rnacentral:rRNA from 1 species
UACGGAGGGGGCUAGCGUUGUUCGGAAUUACUGGGCGUAAAGCGCACGUAGGCGGCUUUGUAAGUUAGAGGUGAAAGCCCGGAGCUCAACUCCGGAAUUGCCUUUAAGACUGCAUCGCUUGAAUCAUGGAGAGGUGAGUGGAAUUCCGAGUGUAGAGGUGAAAUUCGUAGAUAUUCGGAAGAACACCAGUGGCGAAGGCGACUCACUGGACAUGUAUUGACGCUGAGGUGGCGAAAGCGGUGGGGAGCAAA